GUGAAUCAUCGAAUCUUUGAACGCACAUUGCGCCCUGUGGUAUUCCGCAGGGCAUGCCUGUUCGAGCGUCAGUACAACACUCAAGCUCAGCUUGGUCUUGAGCCCAGCCGGUCACGGCGGGCUUUAAAAUCAGUGGCGGCGCCCCCUGGCUCUAAGCGUAGUAAUGAUACCCCUCGCUACUGAGUCCCGGUGGACGCUGGCCAGCAACCCCAACCUUCCUCAGUUUGACCUCGGAUCAGGUAGGGAUACCCGCUGAACUUAAGCAUAUCAAUAAGCGGAGGA
rnacentral:misc_RNA from 1 species